AUAUCUUUCGUAGUUACUGUAGAUAUAAUUUUUGGCAGGCGAUUGAGAAUGAGUAUCUUGAGUACCUAUAAGAAUUAUUCUUUAGUGGUUAAAGAUGAUUUCGAGAGAAUAACUGUCGGUGAUUAAUAUCGAUACCUGAAUCGAUGAGAUCGGAUGUGGCUCGAGCCAAAUUCAGUUGGCUGGCCUUUGAGCAAAGCACUACGCGAAGAGUUGAAUGUUUAUGAGUGUUCGAAAGAAAUAUAGAGUAUGUGUGAGAAUGUUUUAUGAGAAAUGUUUUAUGAAAAGUAGUGGAACGAUAGAACUUUAAACAACUAUCGACGAACAUGUAUUUUUCUAAUUUUUUUUAUUGGUGAAAUUCUUAUUGAGAAUAUUUCUUAUUGAACGAAUAUUGAUGUUUUUAAACUUUACUUCUCGUUUAUUCUUUUUUCAUGAUGUCAACGUAAAGCAAAAUAUUUGCAAUAUUUUUCAAUAGACGAUGCAGUACAAUGUGCACAAUCGAUAAUCGAUCUCGUUUAAUUACACGAUCGGCAUAUCGAAGUCAAUGGCCUCGAAACAAAGAACCGACAUAAAAGGAAGAUAACUAUUCGAUUGUUAUCCACCUCGAAAGAUACAAUAGAAAUUUCUUUGAUGCUUGUUUUAAUUCUAUUAUAGUUCAUUUCAAAUAGUAAAAACGAGAAAAAAUAAAUAUUAAAAUAAUUAACAUCCGCAAUGUAUAUUAUUACAGAUAAAGACUAUUUCUCAAUUUAAUCAUAAUUUAAUUCAGAUCAGGGAUCAGUGAAAAUUUACAUCUGGAUCAGGAAUCAAAAGAGAAAAAGAGAGGACAAGGUCUGCUCUCGAUCUUAUGAAUCAUAGCGUUGCUAAAGCGUAUUCAGACCGUUCUUUCACCGUUCGUGCAAAAACGAGCAUUGAAGUUCAGUGAUCUGAAAAAUGAUUUCAACCAACUUCCGUGGAAUUUCGAAAUGACCGAGCUAUAAUCAGAAACACGUUUAUGCAUUAUAUCUAUGUAUGCUUUCUAUGCUUAUUUGAUAUUUUAAUCAGACCCCUGUACAAGUGUAAAUGUAACGGUCUAUAAAUAACGGAUGCCAUAUUCUCACCUGAGCUUCUUCAGCCGAUUAUGACGUCGUGUUUGUCGUCCGUGACACAACACGCGUAUAAAAACACGUAAUCUACUUGUAACGUCUGCGUCCAUUUAAUUCUACUAUCUCCCUGCAUUUUCUAAAACCAUAAAAAUGACGUCACCUGUCAACAUCGUUCUCAAUCCCCUUACCUAAUCGUUCAAAGAGUUAUGAUGUAUUCCUGUUUAAAAAGAUCAGAUGUUUUUGAAUGAAAGUUUAAUAUUUUUAAGACGAUUAAUUUCUUAAUUUGAAUUUUAAAUUGAACUUUAAUUACAAGUUUACGGUCACAGAAUUUUUAUUGAUAUAUUUUGCAUCAUCAUAAUUCGGUUUUAACUUUAUAGGAUUGUUGUUUUUUGUAGCUAAAUACUCUAGUGUAAUUUGUUCACUUGGAGUGCAUUGGAAUUGUUCCAAAAUAUUUAUCUUUCUCAUAUUUUAAAUUCGAAAUUAGCCUAAAUUACUGUCAUUGAAAAAUAACAAUUAUGUUAAUUAUAUUCCAAAUUAUAUUUUAAUAAUACAACAUUUCCUCGUAAUUUCUCAUUUCUAUCAAAAUAUUCAAUCUGCUUGGGGUUAAAUCUCAUCGAGUUCUAUUCUAUGUAUAUUAAACCUGAUUAAAUUAAUUAUAUUAGAUACAUAUAAUAAUUCCUAAAUAUAAAAUUUAUGUCAAUUUUGAUUUAGAGGAAUAUUCUUAAUUUUAGGUUUGUUUGCUGAACUUUUGGUAUGCUUUGCUAGUGGACGGUCCGUUUCCGCGUUGUUCCUUGGAUUCCCCAGAAUAUAUAGAUCAUGAAGCGUUUCCGGAGAACGGUGGAACUCCGGGAGUGUCGCCUGGCCGUUACGAAAUCAGCUGUGCGCCUGUCGGUGCUUGUUGUAGGUCGCGUUCAGGACUCCCCUCGGCCUCCCUUCUGCUCUGUUCCUCUCAUUCCAUCUAACAAGAGAGUUAGAGGAGAGGGGAUAUUAAAGGUCGCCUCAACGUGGAGAUCAAUACGAAACCUACAUACCUACCUUCCCUAUCGGACCAAUGGGAAUGCCCAAAAUGAUCCUUUUCGUAUCUAUUAAUUAUCUUUUUAUGUUCAAGACAGUCAGUUUGAUAUAAUUGCCCAAUUUGCUUACUUUCUUAAAUCUAAACAAAUAAUUAUUCUUCUAUAGUCUUAUCAAUUAAAUCCUUCCUCUCAAAUUGGACAAUUUAUUAUAAUUAUAUGUGUCCAGUACACAAUUAUAUGCAGUACUUCAUUAGAUUCUAGAUAUUUCUAAUACAGCAAGUAAUGAUAAAACUUUUAAUUUU